GAGGAUGUAGCUCAGUGGUAGAGCACUUGCCUAGCGUGUAUGAGGCCCUGGGUUUCAUUCCCAGUACCACA
rfam:Fukomys damarensis contig117294, whole genome shotgun sequence.